rnacentral:misc_RNA from 1 species
CCAAUAGCGUAUAUUAAAGUUGUUGCAGUUAAAAAGCUCGUAGUUGAAUUUCGGGAUCAAAUUGUCGGUCGUGCCUCGGUACGCACUGGUAUUAUUGGUUCCUACCUUCUGAAGAACCGCGAUGUCAUUAAUUUGGUGUCGUGGGGAAUCAGGACUGUUACUUUGAAAAAAUUAGAGUGUUUAAAGCAGGCUUACGCUUGAAUACAUUAGCAUGGAAUAAUGAAAUAGGACGUUUGAUUCUAUUUUGUUGGUUUCUAGGAUCGACGUAAUGAUUAAUAGGGAUAGUUGGGGGCAUUAGUAUUCAAUUGUCAGAGGUGAAAUUCUUGGAUUUAUUGAAGACUAACUACUGCGAAAGCAUUUGCCAAGGAUGUUUUCAUUAAUCAAGAACGAAAGUUAGGGGAUCGAAGACGAUCAGAUACCGUCGUAGUCUUAACCAUAAACUAUGCCGACUAGGGAUCGGAUGAUGUUAAUUUUUUAAUGACUCAUUCGGCGCCUUACG